rnacentral:rRNA from 1 species
UGGGGAAUAUUGCACAAUGGGCGCAAGCCUGAUGCAGCCAUGCCGCGUGUAUGAAGAAGGCCUUCGGGUUGUAAAGUACUUUCAGCGGGGAGGAAGGGAGUAAAGUUAAUACCUUUGCUCACUGACGUUACCCGCAGAAGAAGCACCGGCUAACUCCGUGCCAGCAGCCUCGGUAAUACGGAGGGUGCAAGCGUUAAUCGGAAUUACUGGGCGUAAAGCGCACGCAGGCGGUUUGUUAAGUCAGAUGUGAAAUCCCCGGGCUCGACCUGGGAACUGCCUCGGAUAGUGGCAAGCUUGAGUCUAGUAGAGGGGGGUAGAAUUCCAGGUGUAGCGGUGAAAUGCGUAGAGAUCUGGAGGAAUACCGGUUGCGAAGGCGGCCCCCUGGACGAAGACUGACGCUCAGGUGCGAAAGCGUGGGGAGCAAACAGG